rnacentral:tRNA from 1 species
AGUUUUGUAUUCAAUGAUGAUUUUAAAUUGCAAAUUUAAAGGUGAUAGAAAAAUCCAAAACUU